rnacentral:rRNA from 1 species
GCGACUCGGGGUAGUGGCGGACGGGUGAGUACACGUGGGAACGUGCCUUUAGGUUCGGAAUAACUCAGGGAAACUUGUGCUAAUACCGAAUGUGCCCUUCGGGGGAAAGAUUUAUCGCCUUUAGAGCGGCCCGCGUCUGAUUAGCUAGUUGGUGAGGUAAAGGCUCACCAAGGCGACGAUCAGUAGCUGGUCUGAGAGGAUGAUCAGCCACAUUGGGACUGAGACACGGCCCAAACUCCUACGGGAGGCAGCAGUGGGGAAUCUUGCGCAAUGGGCGAAAGCCCGACGCAGCCAUGCCGCGUGAAUGAUGAAGGUCUUAGGAUUGUAAAAUUCUUUCACCGGGGACGAUAAUGACGGUACCCGGAGAAGAAGCCCCGGCUAACUUCGUGCCAGCAGCCGCGGUAAUACGAAGGGGGCUAGCGUUGCUCGGAAUUACUGGGCGUAAAGGGAGCGUAGGCGGACAUUUAAGUCAGGGGUGAAAUCCCGGGGCUCAACCUCGGAAUUGCCUUUGAUACUGGGUGUCUUGAGUAUGAGAGAGGUGUGUGGAACUCCGAGUGUAGAGGUGAAAUUCGUAGAUAUUCGGAAGAACACCAGUGGCGAAGGCGACACACUGGCUCAUUACUGACGCUGAGGCUCGAAAGCGUGGGGA